rnacentral:rRNA from 1 species
UACGGGGGGAGCAAGCGUUGUUCGGAUUUACUGGGCGUAAAGGGCGCGUAGGCGGCGCAACAAGUCACUUGUGAAAUCUCCGGGCUUAACCCGGAGCGGUCAAGUGAUACUGUCGUGCUAGAGUGCGGAAGGGGCUACUGGAAUUCCUGGUGUAGCGGUGAAAUGCGCAGAUAUCAGGAGGAACACCGGUGGCGAAGGCGGGUCUCUGGGCCGAUACUGACGCUGGAGGAAGCGAAAGCGUGGGGAGCGAACAGG